UAGUCUGUCUCUUCUCUGUCA
rnacentral:miRNA from 14 species